GCGGGUGUAGUUCAGGGGUAGAACGUCUCCUUGCCAAGGAGAAGGCCGGCGGUUCAAAUCCGCUCACCCGCUCCA
rnacentral:tRNA from 1 species